GCCAAAGUCCGAAUGUAAGUCUAACGGCUAGAAAUAUCUAUCAAAAAAUAGAAAAUUUAAAUAUUACAUAUUAAAAUUUACACAAAAUAUAACAAACAAAACGCCUAAAGAAAAAAACCCUUCAAACAGAAUAAGCAAAUAAAUGCAGAGAGCUUGCGAAAGUCUGUGAUAAUGUUCCUACUAUGCCUAGUGUUGUAAUGGUGUAAAUUGGAAUAAGUUCGCUAAACUGGGAGAUGUUAUUAAUUAUGUAAAUUAAACAUUGAUAGAUGUAGGCGCAAGAAAAUGUAAGUAUAAUCCCUGCACCUCAGGCCAACCAUAAUUAUGAUACAUCUCCAUUGAAGCUAACACGUUUCCUGUGCAUAUUGUACUUCAGAAUAGCAUAGAUAACCGUGGUACACAGAUAAAAUAGUAGACAAGGAUGUCAUAGCCCUUAAGGAUCUUAUCAUGAAAAGUUUAACUUGUUGGUUGAUGCAUUUAAGGAAAGUCUAGAGGCCGAAAACCAUUCAUGUGUAUUUUUAUUGCUAUCAUGUCUAACACAGGAUCAGGAGCGGAGUACUGGAUAACAUGAGCAGUAUCAUUUGCAAAAAGUACAGGUUUUAAAUGUUAAACAUUUGGAAGAUCAUUAAUGCAUGUGAGGAAUAGCAGAGGACCAAGAAUAGAACCUUUAUGGAACUCUUGUGGAAGUUAACACACUGUUUAUAAAGCCCACAUAUAUCGACAGUGACCCUGGAGGUCUUACACCAUUAACAUCCAGAUGGCAUAAUUUUAAUUUCUGAAUGAGGAUUCCAUGAGAAACACAAUCAAAUGCUUUAGUGAGGUCAUUAAAAGAAGCCUAUGAAUCCAUGCCCAACUCCCACCAUUCCUUGAUAAUUUCUGUGAAUGUCUCUAAAUAGAUUGUGUUUUUCAAAAUUGAUUGUUAAUUGAUCCUUUGAGAGAAAAUUGGCGAUCAUUUGUUAGUUUAUCUAUAACUCUUAUAAUGUCGGAACUACUUUAAUUCUUUUAAGUGCACUUGGGAAAAUACAGGCAGGAAUACA